UUGCAUUGUAAUGUAAUUGAACCAUAAAAUUUUCAUCAGUACAAAUGUUGCAGAGAAGAAAUGUUCCCUCUCUUCCCUCUCAUCCUCUUCUCCCUAUUCGUCUUCUCUCUUUUCCCUCUCUUCCUCUUCUUUCUUCUCUCUUCCCUCUCUUCGUCUUCUCCCUAUUCGUCUUCCUCAUUCAUCUUCUUCUUCCUUAUCCAUCUCCUUCUUCAUUGUUAUUAUUGAGUUUCAGACAUGUUCGAUUUUGAUUUUGAUUUGGUGUUUGUUGUUUCAGGUUUGGUGGUGUUGACUCACGCGGAAGAGGGAAGCUUCGCCGACGGUGCGGUUAUCUGAACAUAAGUUUACUGAUGUGUUGAAGGAUAUGAAGAUGAUGUUAUGGUUCCAAAACUUCGGUGAGAUUUUUCUGAUUUUUGUUCUUUGUGUUUUUGGAUCUACAGAUCUGUUGUCUUUUUUUCUUCUUCUACAAAAAUUUCUAAAGGAUUUUAUGUAUUUGGAAAAUGACGGUAACAUUUAGGGUUUCAUUAUGAUCUCUGUGGCUAUGGCUGUGUGUUUGUGUGAACAGUUAUUGUUUUUGCAACAAUUUGAGAAGGGUUUCUGGAAAAUGAAGAAUGAAAAUCUUAGGGUUUCAUUGUUUGUUUCUCUGUGGCUGAUUUCGGGUGAACAGUGGUCUCUGAGGUAUGGACAACUCAAAGUUUCCCGAUUUAAGGCAUGUCUGAGCUUGCCCUCCAUAUGUUUGAUGAAAAGCAGGAAUGACACAGUGGUUGUCGUUGCUGUGUUUCAUGGUCUGAGGUUUGAAAGACCCGGUCAGGUUUGAGAGCAGUAGAGCACGGGAUGAUAUCGAUAUUCGAAUUAAAACCUGUUGCAGUGCGAAAAGGAUCAUUCAAACCAGAAUAAUACAUGAGUCACACUGCCAUCGGCGACAAGGAACGAUAAGAAAUUUUCUACUGGAUUCUUAAAGGUUAAUAAUA